AUCAUCUGCGCAGCAGUGGAAACCUCUUUAAUGAAGCUGCUGACAAUACGAGUAACGGUUCUCUGACGCUCACUCGCAGGUGUGUUUUUGUGAUUUUUGGUACCUGGUGCACGAGAGGAUGUGAUGUCACUGCAGGAGGUGAGCUCUCUCUCUUAUUGUCGUCGUCGCCCGGCAACCAGUAAAGAGCAACACGCCAGCAGAAGAAACCCUGAAGUCUGAAAUCUGUGAUCAAUGAGGAGGAAAGCACAUGAUGGAGCGGGAGGAGUCCCAGCUGUAAGUAACCAGUUCCCAACAAACACAAACUGGGCUCAGGGGACAGCGAAGUGGGACAAAGAGGCCCAGUGACACUU